CAUUUUCUUGUUAUUUCAUACAUUGGUUUUUUAAAGCGUUGUUUGAUUAUAUAACCACUGAAUCCUUACUCAUAGAAUUGGUCAACUUGAUCUGAUGGGUUCUGAAAGACCACAAAUAUCUUCCUCUUUUGUUUCUCCAUGCAUUUAUCAUGUGUUCUUGAGUUUCAGAGGCGAAGACACCCGCAAGACUUUUACUGAUCGUCUUUAUGCUGCUUUGAUAGGUGCAGGGUGGCGCACGUUUAAGGAUGACAAUGAGAUUGAGAGGGGGGAAAAUAUUAAGACAGAAUUAGAGUAUGCAAUCGUACACUCGAGGAGUUCAAUAAUUAUCCUCUCGGAGAACUAUGCUACUUCCACUUGGUGCCUUGAUGAACUUGUGAAAAUCCUUGAACAUAAGAGGACCAAAGGGCAUGCAAUUCUUCCUGUCUUCUAUCAUGUGGAUCCCUCUGAAGUUAAAGAUCAGACAAAGAGCUUUGCAGAAGCAUUUAGAAGAUAUGAGCAGCAAAUUGAAGCUGAAAGUGAUGAAGGAAAGAGGGAGUGGAUUGAUAAGGUUCAAAAAUGGAGAGCAGCUCUUGGAGAGGUUGCAGAUUUGGUUGGUGUUACAGUGAUCAAUCAAGAGGAUAGGAAGGAGUCAAAGUUCAUUGAAGAGAUUCUUCAGCUCAUUGAGGAUAAAUUGAACCGCACAAUCUCUAGUGUUGCGCCUUACCUGGUUGGGAUCAGUUUCAGGGUCAAAAAUAUUGUGUCAUGGUUGCAGAAUGGAUCAAAUGACGAUAACAUCAUUGCAAUUUGUGGGAUGAGUGGAAUUGGGAAGACAACUGUUGCCAAGUAUAUUUUUACUACGAACUUUGAAAGAUUUGAAGGUAGUAGCUUUCUUGCAAAUAUCAGAGAUAUUUCUCAGCAACCUGAUGGCUUAAUUCGCUUACAGAAACAGCUCCUUUAUGAUCUUACUGGGAAAAAGAGUAAAAUACAGGAUAUUGAUGAAGGGAUCAUCAAGAUAAGAGAUGCUAUAUGUUUUAGGAGAGUUCUAGUCAUAUUGGAUGACAUUGAUCAACAAGAAGAGCUACACGCUAUAAUUGGAAUAAAAAAUUGGUUCUGUCCAGGAAGUAAAAUUAUUGUCACAACAAAGAAUUCAAAUUUGCUCCAGGUUCAUGGAAUUCAAAAAGUCCAUGAAGUCAAGGAAAUGGGUAAUGAUGAAUCAUUGGAGCUUUUCAGUUGGCAUUCCUUUGGGGAGGACCAUCCAGCUGAUGGGUACAUGGAACUAUCGACCAGGGUGGUAAAGCAUUGUGGAGGGCUUCCUCUGGCACUUCAAGUUUUGGGUUCUUCUCUUCGUGGAAAGAAUAUUGAUGUAUGGAAAAGUGCACUAGACAAGUUGGAAGUGAUUCCUGCAAACCAGAUAAUGAAAAAACUAAAAUUGGGGUACGAUUCGUUAAAAGAUGACCAUGAUAAGAAUUUAUUCCUUGACAUUGCCUGCUUCUUUACAAGAAAGGAUAAAGAUUAUGUUAUUGCAGUACUUGACGAAUCUUAUACUUACACAAGAGUUGGGAUUCAGAAUCUCGCAGAUAGACUCUUGUUGACAAUUGAGGGUAACAAGUUGAUAAUGCAUCAAAUGCUUCGGGACAUGGGCAGAGAAAUAGUCCGUCAAGAAUCACCCAAGAAGCCUGGGAGACGUACCCGGUUGUGGCACUACAAGGAUUCAUUUAAUGUAUUGAGAGAUGACAUGGGCUCAGAGACAAUUGAAGGUCUUUCCCUUGACAUGAAUAUGGUAAAGGAGGACCAAUCCUUCAUGGGAAGUUCUAGCAGUGGAAGAAAGUCUCCGUUUUUUGGUUUCUCCAGGAAUCUCAUCAAGUUUUCUUCAAGAACCUUAAAUGUGAUUGAAUUGGGAACAAAUAUCUUUACAGUUAUGAACAAGCUUAGACUGCUUCAGAUCAGUUAUACACAUCUAAAUGGUGCUUAUAAAGAUUUUCCCAAGAACCUGAGGUGGCUAUAUUGGAGAGGUUUUCCUUUAAAGAGUAUGCCAAAUGAUUUUCCAUUGGACAGCUUGGCUGUUCUUGACAUGCGGAACAGCUGUUUGGAAAGACUGUGGCCUGGAAGAAGGGUGCUUCAGCUGCUAAAAAUUCUCAACCUCAGCCAUUCUCAUUCUCUGUCUAGAACUCCUGAUUUCUCAGAACUUCCGAUGCUGGAGAGGCUUGUUCUCAAAGAGUGCGUCAAUCUAGUUGAGGUUCAUGAAUCCAUUGGAACCUUAGAGGCUCGGCUUAUUUUCUUAAAUCUCAAAAACUGUAAAAGACUUCAGAAACUACCCAGACAGAUUUGCAAGUUAAAAGUUCUUAAAACGCUCAUUAUAUCUGGUUGCUCAAAUCUUCUAGAGUUGCCAAGAGAUCUUUGGAGGAUGCAGUCCUUGAUAGUAUUUCUAGCCGAUCAAAUCCCAAUGAGUCAAUUACCCUCCACGAAUAAACAGAAUUCAAAAUGGCAUGCAUUCAUCCAGUCUUGGGUUUCUAAGCCAAGAAAAGUUCCAAAACUUUCCUCGGUUUCUUUGCCAAAAUCUUUGGUUAACCUAAGUCUAGCUGGGUGCAAUCUAUCUGAAGCUGCUUUUCCUAAGGACUUCAGUAAUUUACUGAUGUUGCAGGACCUAGAUCUUAGUAAAAAUCCCAUCACUUCCCUUCCAGAUUGCAUCAGAACUCUUUCCAGGCUCAACAUACUUGUAUUAGAUGAUUGUAGAAUGCUUAAGGCUCUCAUAGACCUACCACGUAUCAACAAUUUGAGGGUGGGAUACUGCACUUCCCUAGAAAAAGUAACAUAUCUAUCAGUAGGAUGCCGUGCAAAAACUCACCAUUUAAAUGGCUGUAAAGAACUCAAUGAUAUGGAGGGAAGCUUCAAGUUGGAAGCCAUGGGAGAAAUCGAGAAAACAAUGAAGUCAUUGGAAUUAAGCAUGUGGGAUUCUGUGGGAAGCUUUGAAGUGAAAUUGUAUAAUAAUUCAACUAAUACAGAAAGUAGAGGACCAGCAAAGGCGUUGUUUGAAAAAGGACUUAUCAGCAUAGUUCUUCCGGGGAGCAACGUUCCCAAUUGGUUUUGUUACAAGAGUGCUGGAGCAACUCUAACUUACACUGUCCCUUCACUUCCUGAUCUCAAUCUCAAGAUCCAUGGCCUAACUGUGUGCUCAGUGUACACAAUUGACUGGAACGUCUGGACUGAGGGUAUCCAGUUUUAUUUGAUAAUCCAUAAUGAGCAGAAGAACGUGAAACUGAUUUAUAGCCCGACUUGCUAUGGUCUUCCUGAAGCCCACAAAGAAAUGUUAUGGUUCAGCCAUUGGAAAUUUCGGAGUCAGCUGGAUGCUGGUGAUACACUGAAUGUCACGGUGCUUAGUAUGACUGGUUUUAACAUCAAGGAGAUUGGUAUUCACAUAAUGCAUGGUGAGCAAGCAGACAUGGUUUCUGAUUCAAACAGUCAAGAAAUGCAGCGAGAUUAUCCUUAUCAGGGGAUGAUCCCUGAACGUCAAGGGCUUGUAGAUUUAUACUGCUUUGGCCAAAUGGGGAUUGGAUUGCACUUCAUUUUGCCAUAUAUACCAUGAGAUCCAUGAGUGGGAAUAUACUCGAUAAAAUCUUUGGAGGAGAUAGAUGGAACAUAUGAUGUCUUCUUAGCCAUCUCCACAAGUAUAUUCUUUUCUCUUCCUCCAUUUGAAAUCCUAUUUUCUAGAAACAACUAUUAAUGUGGAAGUUCCCUGAGAUCUUCACAGCCCGAUAGGUUCAACAGGAACAAAUUAUACAAUUGCCCGAUUGAUUCAUCAAUCUCUAUCAGCCUUGUGCGGUACUUGAGAAAUAACAUCACAAGAUUAGGAAGCUCUUUAAAGUUGGGACUUCUAGAAAGGUAACUUGAAUUGCUGAGCUGAGUUGAUCCUGCUGAACUUUGGGCAGGCCAAGAGAAGAAACUGCUACCGGUCCGCUUCUUUACUGAAUUUGUUUCAGAUGCCAACCUUGCUUCUCUAAAAUAUCAGCACACUCCAAAAGAGGAAAAAGAAGGAAAAUGGUUCAUAUCAUUCUUCAAUAAAGAAUCGCCGGAGAUUGAAGAAUCUUUUUUUUUCCCGGUUGACAGUAUGACCAUCGCCGACACUAUCAAUUGCGAUGAAGUUUUCAUGGUUGGUGUUAGGUAAUGCUCUGAUGGUGAAUGUGAACUUGGAAAGAGAGACUGUUGGACAGUGAUAACUUUCAGAAGUUGCAGUUGACAUAAAUGGUGGAAUUCCGGCGGGACGAGAAAAUUCUAAAAAUUCUCAACUUAACUGUUAUGGAAUUUCUGAGACCAAGGAGAACUCGAAGAAUGGAGAUGAUGGAUGAAAGACGAUGCGGAUUUCAGAAACAUUAUUUUUGUGGCUCAAAAAUGCAAUUGCAAUUAGAUGGAGCCGAAGGGUGGUGGGUGGUCGUUGGGAAGAACAAGAUUUUAUUUUUUUUUUACUUUUUGGUUGUAAAUAAUCGCCUCACGCGCUCAUAAUAAGUGUGGCACACACACUGUGCCAGUUUGAUAUGUACAAUUUCUCCCCAAGUAUAAGUGUUCAAUAGGAACAAAAUGUAAUUUAGGUGUCUAAGUAAAAGAUAUGGACAAGUUUAAGGGGCUGCUUAUGUAUUGGCAUAAAAAUUUUGCAGUCUUUAUUGUUAGGAUCGAAAUAACAUGGUGCAUACGGAAGCUAACAAUGCAAAGCUGGUAGACGAUUCAGUUU